UACAGAGGGGGCAAGCGUUGUUCGGAAUUACUGGGCGUAAAGGGCGUGUAGGCGGCCAACUAAGUCAGACGUGAAAUCCCCUGGCUCAACCAGGGAACUGCGUCUGAUACUGGAUGGCUUGAAUCCGGGAGAGGGAUGUGGAAUUCCAGGUGUAGCGGUGAAAUGCGUAGAUAUCUGGAGGAACACCGGUGGCGAAGGCGGCAUCCUGGACCGGUAUUGACGCUGAGGCGCGAAAGCCAGGGGAGCAAACGGG
rnacentral:rRNA from 1 species